rnacentral:lncRNA from 10 species
UAAAACGUGAACUCUUUGGGGGACACACUUAAACCAUAGCAGCGGCCAAGCUGUCUUGUGUUUCUGGUGCAUCUUGUGUGGAAGAAAAUCCCUGCCCCUCCCCCAGUGGUAGGAGACCUCAGUGGUGUAGUUCUUCUAUGUCUUCCCCACAGUUUUGCUAAUUUCUUUAAUAUCAGAAGACAGCUGGAUUCUCAUUUCUGCUUCUGCAUUCAGUCUAUUGUGAUAUAGCAUAUCAUGUAACUUCUGAAAAACUUCACUGUACACAGAUGCUGACCUCACAGACUCCCUGAAAGGAUCUCCAUGACCUCUAUGGUUCCUUAGACUGCACUUUGAGAACUAUUGACGUACAGGGAAAAAUGCUCUUGGUGUUCCAGUUAAGCACAGAAUAAAAUCUGGACUGUGUCAGUUUGUAAAGAUCUUAUGUCUACUUGGUCAUCAGCCAAGAAGGGAUUCCGAAGAUAGAAGAGGAGGCAUCAACACCGUGAACAUCAUGGCUGAGUUAUUUUGUGAGAGGGAUAAGCCUAAAGUAAAAACCUUGGAUUUGCCUCUGUCCUUGAACAUGCUAUCUGGAAAGAGUUUUCUUAAAAGUAUUGUUGUGAACACAUCCAUUUUCCCAGUAUAGUUGAAUGCAGGGUUUAAUAAAUGGAAUGAAUCUA